rnacentral:rRNA from 1 species
UGGGGAAUUUUGCACAAUGGGGGAAACCCUGAUGCAGCGACGCCGCGUGAUUUAGAAGGCCUUCGGGUUGUAAAAAUCUUUUCUAUGGUAAGAAAAUGACAGUACCAUAGGAAUAAGGACCGGCUAAUUACGUGCCAGCAGCCGCGGUAAUACGUAAGGUCCGAGCGUUGUCCGGAAUCAUUGGGCGUAAAGGGUACGUAGGCGGGUAAGCAAGUUAGAAGUGAAAUCCUAUAGCUCAACUAUAGUAAGCUUUUAAAACUGCUCAUCUUGAGGUAUGGAAGGGAAAGUGGAAUUCCUAGUGUAGCGGUGAAAUGCGCAGAUAUUAGGAGGAAUACCGGUGGCGAAGGCGACUUUCUGGCCAUAACCUGACGCUGAGGUACGAAAGCGUGGGUAGCAAACAGG